rnacentral:lncRNA from 1 species
CUGGCUUGAUGCUGUACUCUGAAUUUUGUCAGUGGAGUUGGUGGAAGGGCAGAACUGAAAUUCACAGAGCAUUUGCAACUUGACAAAAGCAUAAGAGCCUCCUGUAUUCAUCAUCCCAGCCGUUCACCCAGCAGUCUUAGAGGAUAGAAGUCACUACCCUCAGUUUAUGAAAUAAGUUAAGCAAUUUGCCCGAGCUUCUAGGCCCUAAUAAAGGGCAGGGCUGGGUUUGAAACCAAACCCAGUCAGAGUCAAACAUGUUUGCUGCUGCUCAGAAGCAAUUCUCCACCCUGCUCUUCAGCUCUACCCUCAGAGGCAAAAUGGCAGCUCCAAGACAGUGACAUAAGCAUCAGGGCUGGAAUGUGGUCUUCCUGAGGUGCUCUUCACUUCAGGGUCCUUCAAUCAGACAGAUGGUUUGCACCAAGCCCUUCAGCCUCCAAGCCCACCCUGUUCAACUACCAGAUUCUUUGGAGAUACAUAAUCUUGGAUUGCACAACUUGGAAAUACCAGAUGGAAAAGGACAAGCCAGCAACCAGGACACCUGUGUCCAUCUAGUUCAAAGGCUCUGGAAGAAUGUGUACAAACCCACAUCUUAA